GCCUCGGAAGCGCCGUAGACCAUCACGGAUGCCGAGCUUUGGGUAACUCUCACAGUGGAAGGUAUAUGCCCAGAUGGCCUGAAGUAACUGAAGAAUCACAAAAGAAGUGAAUAUGCCCUGCCCCACCUUAACUGAUGACAUUCCACCACAAAAGAAGUGUAAAUGGCUGGUCCUUGCCUUAAAUGAUGACAUUACCUUGUGAAAGUCCUUUUCCUGGCUCAUCCUGGCUCAAAAAGCUCCCCCACUGAGCACUUUGCGACCCCCAUUCCUGCCCGCCAGAGAACAAACCCCCUUUGACUGUAAUUUUCCUUUACCUACCCAAAUCCUAUAAAACAGCCCCACCCUUAUCUCCCUUCGCUGACUCUCUUUUCAGACUCAGCCUGCCUGCACCCAGGUGAAAUAAACAGCCAUGUUGCUCACACAAAGCCUGUUUGGUGGUCUCUUCACACGGACGCGCAUGAAACAAAUACCACAUGUUCUCACUUAUAAAUGGGAGCGAAACACUGAGUCUACACGGACACAAAGAAGGGAAGGACAGACACUGGGGCCUCCUGGAGGGUGGGAGGAGGAAGAGGAUCAAAAAACUACCUUUGGGUACUAUGCUUAGUACCUGCGUGAUGAAAUAAUCUGUACACCAAACCCUUAUGAUACACAAUUUACCUGUAUAACAAACUAGUACAUGUACCCCUGAACCUAAAAAAAGGUUACAAAAUAGAAAAUAAAUAAACCAUGAGAAGAAACAUUUUAAUUUUGGGAAAAACAAGACCUUGAUUCCAGGACAGCUAUUGAGCAAAACAGCCCAACUUGGAUAGUCUGAAAAUAUUUCCAUUUAAAGUUGGAUGAAUUUGCAUCAGAUUCUUGGUUUCUAUGAUUCAUUCAUAGAAGUCAUUUUCUCUUUUCCUGAUCUUUGAAGAUUUAUAACCAGAAAUUAAAAUCCAUGCCACGAUUUCUGAGAUGAAUUGUUUUACUGUUGAAUGCUCAUUAUAUACAAUCCCUGAAAGGGUCCAGGAAAUGGACCUGCAUAUAUUAUAGACACAGUUUGUUGGUGUCUAUCUGAGGAUUCCAGGGAAAAAAUAAUAUAAAGGAUCAGUCAAUACAUGAAAUUUUGAAAGAAAUAUUUCUCCCUUUUUUGCCUCUUUGAAUUUGAGAGCAAAUUAUAAGUAUUUUAGAAAUGAAAUUCAUGCUCAUUCAGUAAUCAUUCAGAAUGUUUAUUUCCAAAUCUCUUGAUUCCAUGUUCUCCCAUGAUAUUGUAACUGCCCAGUGGGUUCACCUUGCCCGCUGCCUAGACAGAGCCGAUUCAUCAAGAGAGGGGGCCAUAAUCCUAAGCAGAUGCAGGAACAGAAAACCAAUAGAGAAAGAGUAAUUCAUACAGAGCCAGCUGUUUGGGAGACCGAAGUUUUAUUAUUACUCAUAUCAGUCUCCUCAAAGCUCCUAGUUUAGGGGUUUUUCAUAGGCAGUUUGGGAGGAUAGGUUGCGGUGGCCAGGUAACAGGUGCUUACUGCUGAUUGGUUGGGGCAGAGAUGAAAUCAUAGGGGGUGGAAGAUGUCCUCCUGCAGGCUGAAUUGCUUCUGGGUGGGGCCACAGGAGUGGGGUUGGUGGGUCCAAGUGGAGCCAUGGGUGUCAGACAUGCAAAAAAAAAAAAAACAAAA